rnacentral:rRNA from 1 species
UACUAGUGGUGUGUGCCAGUAAAGUAAGUUGUUUAGGUUUAUUUUACCUUUUGCAUCAUGAUUCUUUGAUUUAGUUUGGUUAUGAUCAAUUUCUCGAAAGGUUAAUGAUUUCACUAAGUUCAUGAAUUGUUAGAGGGAGUACUAACGGGUAGCUGGUUUACUGUGUAAGUAUCCUUAGAGGUUUAGUGGGGAGUGAUAAAUUAUUCGUAUAGCCUAAUAUCUAGUUUACAACUUGUUAUUUCCGCAAAAGGGUGAUUGAUUGUGUUGAUUAUUCAAAAUAGAAAAUAUUAGUUUAAUGUAGUUGGUGUCGUUGUCUGAGGUUAGUAUUGUCUUUGGCUAAUUAAGUUAUUUACAUGGCUAGUGUUAUAUGUACAUAUUUUUGUUUGUUUAAAGUUGUAUCUAAAAUUAGUGUUACAAGAGUGAAGAAAUGAGUAGGAUAAUUUUAAGAUAUAUAUGACAUAAUUGUUCUCGUGUUUAAAUCCAACUGUUUAUUAAAGACAUUUCUAUUUGUUAUGUUUAAAUAGUAUAACCUGCUCAGUGAUCUUAUUAUUUGUUUUAUAUUAAAUAGCCGCAGUUUUUGACUGUGCUAAGGUAGCAUAAUAUAUAUUGCUUUUUGAUUGAGGGCUUGUGAAUGGUUGAUUGAGGUUUAUUAAAAAUUAUGUUAGUUUCUGAAGUUUGUUUGGCGGUGAGGAACCCGUCAGUUUUUUAUAAGACGGAAAGACCCCGAGAUCUUUAUAUAGAAUAAAUUUAGUUUGGGGUAAAUAAAUUUGUUUCAUUUUUUUUGUGAUCCUAUAGGAUUAAGGUUUAAGUUACCUCGGGGAUAACUGAGUAAAGAAUGGGGAGAGGUCACAUCGAUCCAUUUGUUACUACCUCGAUGUUGGCUUAGGGAUCCUGGAUGGAGUAGAAGCUAUCUUUGGUAGUCUGUUCGACUAUUAAAUCCUUUAUGAGUUGAGUUAAGACCGGUGUAAGCCAGGUCGGUUGUUAUCUAUAUGUGAUUUUAUUAAGUACGAAAGGAGAGAUAGAAUGCAGUUUUACUGUAGUUAUUGA